rnacentral:rRNA from 1 species
AGAGUUUGAUCCUGGCUCAGAAUGAACGCUGGCGGCGUGCCUAACACAUGCAAGUCGAGCGAGAAAGUCCCCUUCGGGGGGCGAGUAAAGCGGCGCACGGGUGAGUAACGCGUGGGUAACCUGCCCUAGAGUGGGGGAUAACCAGCCGAAAGGCUGACUAAUCCCGCAUACGACCGGCAGACACAAGUCUGCUGGGGAAAGAUGGCCUCUGCUUGCAAGCUAUCGCUCUUGGAUGGGCCUGCGUUGGAUUAGCUAGUUGGUGAGGUAAUGGCUCACCAAGGCUGCGAUCCAUAGCUGGUUUGAGAGGACGACCAGCCACACUGGAACUGAGACACGGUCCAGACUCCUACGGGAGGCAGCAGUGAGGAAUAUUGCGCAAUGGGGGAAACCCUGACGCAGCGACGCCGUGUGAGCGAUGAAGGCCUUCGGGUCGUAAAGCUCUGUCAGAGGGAAAGAAAGGGCCGGAGGAAUAAUACCCUUCGGCAUUGACGGUACCCUCAGAGGAAGCACCGGCUAACUCCGUGCCAGCAGCCGCGGUAAUAC